AUACAGAGGAAUCAGACACUUCUAAAACAGACAGAACUGUUCUGACUUGGUGAGGAGAGGUUGUUCUGUGGAAUAAGCAGUACAGCAUUAUAAAAACUACAGAUUCUCAAAAUGCAUUUGCACUCUGCUGAAAUGGUGGCGCUCACCGUGCUUGUAGUUUCUUUCACUUGGUGGAUUGUAUUGCACCUUAUCAAAAGCUAAAGAUGAGCAUUGCCCUUUUCCACAAAAGCGGCAGAUGCAGAGAAAAUCAUCACAGAAAAAAAGACAGUGCUCCAUCUCAGCCUCCUGCUCAAGGUAGGCCAGUGAGCUUGUACCUAAUGACUGAGAGGUGCAUUGCCAAAGGGUGACUCUGGCAUUGCAUCCUGAAGUUUGCAAGCAGUUGAAUAUGCCUGAUACCUGCUGAAUGUGGUUAAGCAGAGGUGGG
rnacentral:lncRNA from 1 species